rnacentral:rRNA from 1 species
UACGGGGGGCAAGCGUUGUUCGGAAUUACUGGGCGUAAAGGGCUCGUAGGCGGCCAACUAAGUCAGACGUGAAAUCCCCAGGCUUAACCUGGGAACUGCGUCUGAUACUGGAUGGAUUGAAUUCGGGAGAGGGAUGCAGAAUUCCAGGUGUAGCGGUGAAAUGCGUAGAUAUCUGGAGGAAUACCGGUGGCGAAGGCGGCAUCCUGGACCGACAUUGACGCUGAUGAGCGAAAGCUAGGGGAGCAAACGGGG